rnacentral:snRNA from 1 species
GUGCUUGCUUCAGCGGCACACAUACUACAAUUGGAACAAUACAGAGAUUAGCAUGGCCCGUGCGCAAGGAUGACAUGCAAAUUCAUGAAGCAUUCCAUAUACAU